UACGGAGGGGGCUAGCGUUGUUCGGAAUUACUGGGCGUAAAGGGCGCGUAGGCGGCAAGGCAAGUCAGGUGUGAAAGCCCCGGGCUCAACUCGGGAACUGCAUCUGAAACUGCUGUGCUUGAGUCCUGGAGGGGGUAGUGGAAUUCCCAGUGUAGCGGUGAAAUGCGUAGAUAUUGGGAGGAACACCGGUGGCGAAGGCGGCUACCUGGACAGUGACUGACGCUGAGGCGCGAAAGCUAGGGGAGCGAACGGG
rnacentral:rRNA from 1 species